rnacentral:lncRNA from 1 species
AUAUGGAUGCCAUAUGGGCUUUGAAAGAAGUAUAGAACAGCAAAAUAAGACUAUGCUAUCCUUAAUGGACUCUGUACAGUUUUCACAUCUUAGCUCGAGAAUCUGGUCACAUUCACGGAUACAAAGGUAGCGACUUUACUCGAGGUGUUUCUGGGGUACUAAACCUGGUCUGAACAUCAUCACCCCACUUUCCCACCUUGUGCAGUUAAAAUAGGAGAGCAUGUACAAUUGCUUGGUCAGGGUCACUGCAUGAGAAGAAAGUUCCAAGCCUGAGGGGUACCAGCCGACAGUAGCCAAGAACCUGU